UGAGAGGAAGGUCCCCCACACUGGUACUGAGACACGGACCAGACUCCUACGGGAGGCAGCAGUGAGGAAUAUUGGUCAAUGGGAGAGAUCCUGAACCAGCCAAGCCGCGUGAGGGAAGACGGCCCUAUGGGUUGUAAACCUCUUUUGUCGGAGAACAAAACCCGGGACGUGUCCCGGACUGCGUGUAUCCGAAGAAAAAGCAUCGGCUAACUCCGUGCCAGCAGCCGCGGUAAUACGGAGGAUGCGAGCGUUAUCCGGAUUUAUUGGGUUUAAAGGGUGCGUAGGCGGUCUGUUAAGUCAGCGGUAAAAUUGCGGGGCUCAACCCCGUCGAGCCGUUGAAACUGGCAGACUUGAGUUGGCGAGAAGUACGCGGAAUGCGCGGUGUAGCGGUGAAAUGCAUAGAUAUCGCGCAGAACUCCGAUUGCGAAGGCAGCGUACCGGCGCCAGACUGACGCUGAGGCACGAAAGCG
rnacentral:rRNA from 1 species